rnacentral:rRNA from 1 species
CGUUUGUUGAUUAUAAUUUCAAAUAUAACCUGCCCAAUGAAUUAUUUAAUGGCCGCAGUAUUUUGACUGUGCAAAGGUAGCAUAAUAAUUAGUUUUUUAAUUGAAAGCUUGUAUGAAUGGUUGGACGAGAUAAAAGCUGUCUUUAAUUAAUCUAUAGAAUUUAAUUUUUAAGUCAAAAAGCUUAAAUUUUAUUAAAAGACGAGAAGACCCUAUAAAGCUUUAUAUAAACAGUUAAUUUUAUUUUUUUGAAAAGUUUUAUUUUAUUAAUUGAAUAUAUUUGAUUGGGGUAAUUUGAAGAUUUAAAUAAUUCUUUAUUUUUAAGACAUUAAUUUAUGAAUUUUUGAUCCAUUAUUGAUGAUUAAAAGAUUAAGUUACUUUAGGGAUAACAGCGUAAUUUUUUUAAAGAGUUCAUAUCGAUAAAAAAGUUUGCGACCUCGAUGUUGGAUUAAAAGUAAUUCAGGGGGUAGAAUUUCUGAAUUUUGGUCUGUUCGACCAUUAAAUUUUUACA